GACGAACGCUGGCGGCGCGCUUAACACAUGCAAGUCGAGCGAAGCGGCGGACGGGUGAGUAACACGUGAGUAACCUGCCUUCGACAUUGGGAUAGCCUCGGGAAACCGGGAUUAAUACCAAAUGGUCUAAGAGGGACUCGGGUCCAAUUAGCUAGUUGGUGAGGUAACGGCCCACCAAUGCGACGAUGGGUAGCCGGCCUGAGAGGGGGAACGGCCACAUUGGAACUGAGAAACAGUCCAAACUCUACGGGAGGCAGCAGUGGGGAAUAGUGCACAAUGGAGGGAACUCUGAGGCAGCGAGGACGCGAGAACGAAGAAGGCUUUCAAGUCGAAAAGUUCUUUUAUCUGGGAAGCGGUACCAUAAGAAAAAGCCCCGGCUAACUACGUGCCAGCAGCCGCGGUAAUAC
rnacentral:rRNA from 1 species